CUGGACUGCAGGAGAGCUGUUUGAGAGCCCUCGGGUCUACUCUCCUCGAAAGUAAAGGAUGUGCACCUGGGCUGAACCACAGUUCUCUACACUCUCCCAAGAGCCACAGAAAAUGAACACAGCUCAGGCGUCAGUGUCAUUCAAGGAUGUGACUGUGGAGUUCACCCAGGAGGAGUGGCGGCAGAUGGACUCUGCUCAGAGGACUCUGUACCGAGAUGUGAUG